UCUCCUCCUUCUCCUGCUUCUCCUGUUCCUCCUACUCCUCCUGCUCCUCCUUCUGCUGCUCCUUCUUCUUCUCCUCUUCUCCUCUGCUCCUCUUCUGCUUCUGCUGCUUCUUCUGCUUCUUCUUUGUGGAAGAUCCAUGCAUCGCCCCUCCUUGAUUUUUCUUCCUUUUCGCUAACCAUCUCUCUCCCUCUCUCACGCACGUCGGGAAUGACGAGACUUUUCGUCAAUGACACGUUCGAAAUCCCUCUCUUUCUCUCCUUCAGCCGACGCCACCACCCAAUACCCCUUAUUUCUAUUGUUUGAAAUCAAGGCCAGGGAAUAUUUCAUGGCUAUGGGCUGAAGCUUUGAGAAAAAGAGAAUGAAAAAUGAAAUGUGUUGGAACGGUGGAGAAGUGCAAAUGCAGUAUGCUUUGAUGUUGAUAACACAAUUUGGCUUUAUUGACAAUCAUUGAGGUGACCUUGCUAGUUGUCAAUAUCUAAGAGAAGAGGAAGGGCUGACCGUGUUCAACCAGGAGAAUGCUACUGUCUAUACAUAGGUUUAUUGAUACUUUCAAUAUUUCUUUCUUAAUGGUUUUGAUUGAACCUUCUAUAUAAAACCAAUUUUCACUAAUGCAACAAAUUGUUUCCUUAUGCUUCAUUUAUUUUAAAUCAAACUAUCAUCGUGUAAUUUUUUUUCUUUCUUUCUCUGUUUUGUUCAUAUUCUUGGUAUACUAUAUUUCAAUUUUGUUUGUGUAUUUGGUACAUUGUGUUAUGGUAUAUCGACUGAAGACAUAUGUUCUA